rnacentral:pre_miRNA from 1 species
UCUUAUGAACGAGCAAAGAAAGUGGUUACUUGAGAGGGAAUCUACUCCUAAUGAAGAUCCUGUGAG